UACGAAGGGGGCUAGCGUUGCUCGGAAUCACUGGCGUAAAGGCGCACGUAGGCGGCUUUUUAAGUCAGGGGUGAAAUCCUGGAGCUCAACUCCAGAACUGCCUUUGAUACUGAGAAGCUUGAGUCCGGGAGAGGUGAGUGGAACUGCGAGUGUAGAGGUGAAAUUCGUAGAUAUUCGCAAGAACACCAGUGGCGAAGGCGGCUCACUGGCCCGGUACUGACGCUGAGGUGCGAAAGCGUGGGGAGCAAACAGG
rnacentral:rRNA from 1 species